GGAGAAGAGGAGAGACGCUGAUGGAGGAGAAGAGAGACGCUGAUGGAGGAGAGGAGGGGAGGAGUGGAGGGGAGGAGAGACGCCGAUGGAGGAGAGGAGGCGCUCAGACACUCAGACGGCCCCUGAAGCAACCUGGACUGAACCAACUCUAAUAUCAGUGGGGGAGGUGAAACAGAAACAACGUCUCCCCCUCCUAUGAGAAUGAGAACUUCCACAACCACAUUUACCUCAUCACACACAGAAACACACACACACACACAGAAACACACACACAGAAACAGUAACACACACACAAACACACACACACACACACACACACAGAAACAGUAACACACACACAAGCUCACACACAGAAACACACACACACACACACACACAGAAACAGUAACACACACACACACAGAAACACACACACAGACCCCCCC